rnacentral:rRNA from 1 species
GACGAACGCUGGCGGCGUGCUUAACACAUGCAAGUCGAGCGGUAAGGCCCUUUCGGGGGUACGACGAGCGGCGAACGGGUGAGUAACACGUGGGUGACCUGCCCUCAGCUCUGGGAUAAGCCUGGGAAACUGGGUCUAAUACUGGAUAUGACUCCACGGUGCAUGUCGUGGGGUGGAAAGACCUUGUGCGGCUGAGGAUGGGCCCGCGGCCUAUCAGCUUGUUGGUGGGGUGAGGCCUACCAAGGCGACGACGGGUAGCCGGCCUGAGAGGGCGACCGGCCACACUGGGACUGAGACACGGCCCAGACUCCUACGGGAGGGCAGCAGUGGGGAAUCUUGCGCAAUGGGCGAAAGCCUGACGCAGCGACGCCGCGUG